GGGGCUAACUCUACUGGGAGAGCGCCUGCUUCUAACGCAGGGCGAUUUGCGGUUCGAUCCCGCAUAGCUCCACCA
rnacentral:tRNA from 1 species